rnacentral:rRNA from 1 species
UACAGAGGGUGCAAGCGUUGUUCGGAAUUAUUGGGCGUAAAGCGCGUGUAGGCGGCUUGGCAAGUCGGGUGUGAAAGCCCUCAGCUCAACUGAGGAAGUGCGCCCGAAACUGCUGAGCUCGAGUGCCGGAGAGGAUGGCGGAAUUCCCCAAGUAGAGGUGAAAUUCGUAGAUAUGGGGAGGAACACCGGUGGCGAAGGCGGCCAUCUGGACGGUGACUGACGCUGAGACGCGAAAAGCGUGGGGAGCAAACAGG